rnacentral:rRNA from 1 species
GCUUACGGCCACACCUCCUGAGCAGCCCCGGAUCUCGUAUGAUCUCGGAAGCUAAGCAGGGUCGGCCCGGUUAGUACUUGGAUGGGAGACGCCUGGGAAUACCAGGUGCUGUAAGCC